rnacentral:rRNA from 1 species
UUCUUUCCAUCUUAGUGGCGGACGGGUGAGUAACGUGUGGGCAACCUGCCCUGUACUGGGGAAUAAUCAUUGGAAACGAUGACUAAUACCGCAUGUGGUCCUCGGAAGGCAUCUUCUGAGGAAGAAAGGAUUUAUUCGGUACAGGAUGGGCCCGCAUCUGAUUAGCUAGUUGGUGAGAUAACAGCCCACCAAGGCGACGAUCAGUAGCCGACCUGAGAGGGUGAUCGGCCACAUUGGGACUGAGACACGGCCCAAACUCCUACGGGAGGCAGCAGUGGGGAAUAUUGCACAAUGGGCGAAAGCCUGAUGCAGCAACGCCGCGUGAAGGAUGAAGGGUUUCGGCUCGUAAACUUCUAUCAAUAGGGAAGAAACAAAUGACGGUACCUAAAUAAGAAGCCCCGGCUAACUACGUGCCAGCAGCCGCGGUAAUACGUAGGGGGCAAGCGUUAUCCGGAAUUACUGGGUGUAAAGGGAGCGUAGGCGGCAUGGUAAGCCAGAUGUGAAAGCCUUGGGCUUAACCCGAGGAUUGCAUUUGGAACUAUCAAGCUAGAGUACAGGAGAGGAAAGCGGAAUUCCUAGUGUAGCGGUGAAAUGCGUAGAUAUUAGGAAGAACACCAGUGGCGAAGGCGGCUUUCUGGACUGAAACUGACGCUGAG